rnacentral:snRNA from 1 species
GGAUAUGAUGGCGAUCUCACGCUGCUGUCUACCACACUGAUUUCUAGGACUGAUCUGGCUGGCCAGACAGGUAUCCCCUUCCUCCCUCAUUGUUCCAUGUUUGUCCCUCUUGAAGCUGAACACUCAGUCAGUCAAAGAGGUCAACCUCCCUCAGAAAAAGGACCAUUCUUGGGUCCAAGGCAUAUGAGUAGCUGUGCUCCCUGAUAGAACAUCCAAACAAAGUAAAUUUGUUAUUUAAAAAACCUGAGCUACUUACUGUCAAGCCUAUUCCUCUAUGAAAUA